ensembl:lncRNA
UAAUGCAGCGCUAGUAUAGUAGUGGGAUAUAAUUCGGUUGUACUCUGGUGCUUAUUAUGGCGGAAAUUAUAAUCUCUUGGAAAGGAAAGAACCCAAACCAGAUAAAGACCACAAAAUAACUUUGACUGAGAAUGUCUAGGAGAGACGUGACUCUUAAUAAUCUGGACUUUAGAUGAGUUUCCAUACAUGCCAUUCAAGUCAUUCAUUAAAAAAAAAAAAAUCUCAGACACUUUUCUCCAAAGUAUCUUCCUAUUCAUUUAUUUUGGAUACACCUGUCCUCAAUGAACAGGUAGGGGGUUAAGGCGUCUACCUGACGAUUCCCAACAGGUAGACGGUGGACCCUGUUUGACAAUUUCCCCAGCGUAACCGAUCGCUCAACACAAGAACAUCCUUGCCAAUAGUUUAAACAGUUCCUUGGAUGCGUUUGGGACCGUUGCUGCUAGGCCGUCUUUAUGUCUCAGUCUGCGCUCUGCUUGGGAGCUUGGCAACGCCGCGGUCUCCUCCGAAUCCCGGCGAGCGAGGAGAGGUGAUGAAUCUGGGUCAAACAAGCGUUCAACUUAACUGCCUGACUAUAAGUAUGUUAAUUAAGGAGUCGAGCAUAAAACACACACAGACGCGCGCACACACACUGCGUCCCUUAUGUGGGUAAAAGCCGAGUUUUGAUUAAGCUUUCACCAAUGAGAACUAGUUUACAGCCCACUCCUUUGAAAGAGGCUUGAAGAUUCAUAAGUACCAAGUCGUAGUCCACGGAGGGGGAAUGAUGGGGAAUGUUUUUGUAUUUCGUGAUUACGACGGUUUCCUUGAAACACCGUCUUAAAUCUUGGAGAAGAGGGGGGCGUUUUUCUUUUUUUGCUUGGCUGACGAUUUUUCAUUCCACUCUGGCUGGAACGCUCUGGUUCUGUCGAAUGGCUAGCAGUAGGCUAACCCUGUAGGCUAACCAUGGGGGCUAACAGCAGGCUAAACAUGAAGGCUAGCAGUAGGCUAACCCUGUAGGCUAACCAUGGGGGCUAACAGUAGGCUAAACAUGAAGGCUAACAGAAGGCUAACCCUGUAGGCUAACCAUGGGGGCUAACAGUAGGCUGAACAUGAAGACUAACAGAAGACUAACCCUGUAGGCUAACGGCACGCUAACCCUAUAGGCUAACUGUGUUGCUGUUCUAUUCUUACUAGCUUACUGACUAAACUGACAAAAUAACUUAAAUUAUAAAUACAAAAAAUGAAUAAAUAAUAACUUACCUGCUGCAUAGGACACAGGCCUAUUAAAAGGUACUAACCUCUACUGCGUUGUGCCCACUUCUGUCCAGGAUGUCCUGAUGACCUUCAGGGAUAGAAAACACAUGAAACAUUAACACGGUGAAGGUUUUUAUGCUGUGCGGUGGUAGUUCUUUAUUUCAUUACGCUUUCUUCAAUGCGUUGGUAAUCUCAGAUCCUGCAGUCCUAAUAUGUGAAUGCCGAAAUACCGGGGUAGGCGUCCAGAAACAGAAAGGGGUGAAGCUACGGAGGGGACUUCAAUCAGUGUUUCUCCACAGAGCCGGUCUGCAGUGCGUUGAUGUGAAACCUUUGCAGACCCUUUUCUCUGAGAGAGUGGGGGUCCGGACAGGAUGUUUAAGCUUCCUUCCCACUAGUGCAUUGGCGAUGGUGGUCAAAGAACCCCCUGAUAUCAGAGCCAGAAGCACAACUCGUUCUUCAUCCCAAUACUACACAAACGUGCACACACCUACACACACACACACACACACACACAUCCUGACAGACACACACACCUGAUGGGGAGCCCUGCAUGGCCCUUAGCUCCAGCUGGGUGCCGUUGUUCUUUGCAGAGUGCGUCUUGGAGCCCUGCUGCUUCUCCAGCUCCCCUGAAGACCACAGAACACAGGAGAACCAAUCAGAGAGAGAGAGAGAGAGAGAGAGAGAUACAAACA